rnacentral:piRNA from 1 species
UGUUCUUGGUGUCUUUUGUUGAACUGA